UUGACCACUUCUUAGCAGCAAUGAAUACCUGCAGAUGUGCACGAUAUUGGGCCCACUAAUGGUCCAUCAUGGAAGGGGAGGCUUAUGGAGACCCACUACUCUUUAAGGAUAGUGUUUCUUGUAGGAGGACUUGUUUUUAGUGGGGUUCCAUAUCUGAGACCUGUUCACAUCUACCCAGGAAUAGUUCAUACAACAACUAAUGUCACUGUGUCUGUUCAGUCUGAAAGAAUCUUGAGAAUCUGGCAAAAUUAAUGGAACCUCCCCAAGAAAAACAACACUGUAAUGGAUUGAAUAAUGGCUUCCCAAAAGGUGUAUUCACAGCAUAAUCACCAGAAUCUGUGAACAUGAUGUAACUGGGGAAAAAAAGCCUUCACAGAUGUCAUCAAUUCUGAAUCUUAAAAUGAGGAGAUCGUCUUGGUUUUUCCAGGUGGGUUCUAAAGCAAGCAGCAAGUGUCCUUAAUCACAUAGUUAAAGCAGACAUGGAGGAGGCAAUGAAGGAAGAGGCCGAGAUGGAACUGAUAAAGCUACAGAUCAAGAAAUGCUGGCAGCCACCACAAGCUGGAAGAGGCAAGGAACAUAAAUGCUCCCUGAGAGACCUUGACUCCGCUAGAACCUUGCUUUGGAUUUUGGUGUUCAAUCCUGUGGGAGAAAAGCAUCUCCAUUUUUACAAGUCACCGACUUAGUGGUCAAGUUUAGAAUUACAGUAAACUAACAGAAGCCCAACAGACAUUCUACAAUGUGUGGAUUUCAGUCAGUAUGGAGCCCAGGUAGAGAAGAAACAUUGCUCUAAUCCUCUCUUAUCACUCAGUAAUCUGGAACCAGAGAGAGGCUCAGAUGAAGCCAUAGUUAGAUUUUGACUUUGUGGAAGGAGGGAUGCUGAUCGCACCCUAGAGAAACUAGUGAGAUGAAAAAUAGCUGGAUCUCAGGCAGUGCAUAUCUACUAGCUGAGCCUUGUAAAUCAAGGGGGUAGGGCUAAAAAUUUCUCCCUGCCCUCCAUCAGCUUGGGAGUCCUUCCUGCUUCCUCAAGAGCCCUACUUUUCCUUACUCAAAGAUUUAUAAAGUAGAAAACAUAGUCACCUUGAAAAAAAUUUAAAGGGAACAUUUAAAAACAUAAACAAGCCUUACAGAAGGGUAGUGGGCACACAAGUGAACAAGUGGAUUAAAAGUUUGGAAACAUGACUUAAAAGAUCAACUGUACAGAGAUCUUUCUCAGAAAAAUAAAGUAAGUGAGAUUGAGUAAGAGCACCACCAUGGUAAACACCAAGCUUGAAGCUAGGUCUAGACAAAGUCUCUGUUCUGCCAACUUGGGAAUCUGGAGAUGCUAUUAUUUGGGUCCUGAUGUGGGUUGAAUUGUGUUCCUUACAAAGAUAUGUUGAAGCAUUAAAUCCCAGUACCUGUGAUAUUAACUCAUUUGGAAAUAGGAACUUUCAGGUCAUUAACUCAAGAUGAAGUCAUUGCAGUGAUCCCCUCACCUAAAUAUGGCUGCUGUACUUCUUAGAUGAUAUGACAGAACUCCAAAGGGGAGAAAACCAUAUGGAGACGGAGACAUCCGGAAGGCAGAUGGUCAUGGGAUAAUACAGGCAGAUGGAGUAAUGGUACCACAAGUCAAAGAACACCUGGGGCUACCAGAAGCUGGAAAAUUCAAGGAAGAGUUCUCUUCUAGAAGCUCCAGUGCAAGCCUGGUCCUGACAGCAGCUGGCGUUUGAACUUCUGGCCUGAAAAACUGUGAGAUAGUAUCUUUUGAUUAUUUUAAACCAGAUAGUCUGUUCUUUUGUUACAGCACGUCUAGAAAAUGAAAAAACUGUUUGGGCUUUGCAUAAGACAUUAAGUGAACGACUAAUAGCCAUACACUAUUCUAGACCCUGAGGAAAUUCCAAGACAAAACGGGCCCUUUUCUUCCUCCCAAGCAGGAUUCAGUUUUCUAUAAUGAGAUAGGAAAUUCCUAAGGAUCUACAGAUUCUUUUUCCCAACCACUGACUUUCCAACUCCAUCUAUAUUUUUUACUAGUUCAUAUAUGUAGAAUGUAUAGAUAUCCUAAAGGCCUGAUUUCACCUGGUAUUUCUGACUAUUUCACAUUUAUCCAGAAAUGUCAUUCAUUCAUCUCCUUCUCUAUCUGAGAUGACAAAGAUGGACAGCUUUCAUUUUCUUCCCUAUCUUUGUGUUUCCUGGUAAAUUAAUUCAUAUUUUCAAUAACAUCUCCUCUGCUCUAAAAUGAAGAGCUCCACAUAUGCUUUGUGAAACUCAGUACAGGAACCACACCGUGGCACUGUUUCAUUCCCAGAAUUUAAUAAAAUGCACAUUUUAUUUUAUGUCACAAUAUAAAGCAUUCACCUCAUGGUUUAUGGUCUGGUGUGGUGUGUGUGUGAGUGUGUGUGUGUGUGUGUGUGUGUGUGUGUGUGUGUGUGUGUGUGUGAUGCACAUGUAAGGCCAAUUAAAUGUUAAUCUCAGGACUUGGAACAUAGUUCAAUGGUAAAGCACUUGCCUAGCAUAUGGGAGGUCCCAAUUUUGAUCUCCAGGAACGCACGUACAAUCAACCUUAGUAACAGAAACUAGGUCUUAUGCUUUAGAUCCUUGCUGCCACGUGGUAAAGACCUUAGCAAAUUACAAAAUAGGAUCUAAUUGUUUUUAUUUCAUUCCCAUAUUCAUGAUUACAGAGAAUUAUUUUUUGUGUGUGGCUUUGAGGAUGAAACCCAGGGCCUUGAAUAUGCUAAGCAGGAGCUCUACCACUGUGCUCUAUUCCCAGUCCAAGACCUCAUUUUCUGUUAUGUUCUGCCUUUUCUCCUCUUCCUAUCACUGUAAGGUACUUUGCUCUCUGAUUCUUGUCACAUUCUUGCUUUCAUUAGUAUGAAAAUUUAGCUUGGGAGUACUAACUAAUAAAAAGUAUAUGACCUUGAAGUAUGACCCCUUGAAAUAGCAGAUACGUGUGUGGCACCAUGCCCUCUUUGCUUUUUUGUUCUAUUUUGUGUUUUGCACCAGUGUCUCACUAAGUAAUAUAGGCUGGUCUAGAACUUCCUACCUAGCGUGAGUUGGCAGUGUACUUGUAGAAGUCCUGGCUCAGCACCCCUAGCAUUGUACACAUGUAUCACUAUGCUUAACCAGCAGUUGGAGAAGUCUCUGAGAUCAAAAAGCCCUUAACACAACCAUAGCAUAUAUACAGAGGACCUAGUACAGUCCCAUGCAAGGUCCCUGCUAUCACUUCAGUAUCAAUGAGCCCCUAUGAGCUCUGCUUAGUUGAUUCUAUGGGCCAUGUUCUUGUGGUGUCUUCAACUCCUCUGGCUCAUAUACUCUUUCCUCCCCCUUUUCCAUGAGAUUCCCUGAGCUUUCUUGUGGGAUCCCUAACAGUGGGAGUAGGGGGUGUCUCUGACUCUUUUGCCUAGUCUUGAGACCCUUUUGCUCCUAUUGGGUUGCCACAUCCAGCCUUAAUAUAAAGAUUUGUGCCUAGUCUGAUUGUAACUUGUUAUGCUAUGUUAAGUUGGUAUCCUUGGGAGGCCUGCUCUUUUCUGAAGGGAAACAGCAGGAGGAGUGGAUCUGGAGGAGAA